rnacentral:rRNA from 1 species
CAGCCGUAAACUAUGCGCGUUAGGUGUACUGGUGACCACGAGUCACCGGGUGCCGAAGGGAAACCGUGAAACGUGCCGCCUGGGAAGUACGGUCGCAAGGCUGAAACUUAAAGGAAUUGGCGGGGGGAGCACCACAACGGGUGGAGCCUGCGGUUUAAUUGGAUUCGACGCCGGACAUCUCACCGGAUAAGACAGCUGAAUGAUUGUCAAUCUGAAGGUUUUACAUGACUAGCUGAGAGGUGGUGCAUGGCGUAGACGUCU